CAAUUUAAAAUAUUUUUAGCUUUUCUCUGAGACUUUCUUUUUUGACCCCUGGAUUAUUUAAGAAUGUGGUAUUUAAUUCUAAAAUAUUUGGAGAUUUUUCAGAUACCUUCUAGUUAUUGAUUUCUGGUUUAGUUCUGUUUUCAUCUAAAAAACAUAUUCUGUAUGUUUUCUACUCAGUGAAAUUUGAUGAGGUUGCCUUCGUAGCUCAGAAUGUGGUAUGUACUGAUGAAUGCAUAUUCUGCUGUUGUUGCAUGGAACAUUCUAUCACUGUCUAGUUGGCUGAUUACUGUUUUUCAAGUCUUCUGAGCGCUUACUGUUUUUCUCUAUAUUUGUUUCAUCAGUUAUUGAGCGUGGAGUGUUGAAGUCUUUAACUCUGAGGAUUUUUUUACUACUUUUUUGUUUUAGCCUCAUUUAUUUUAAAGCUCUGGUUUAAUUGCUGCACAUUUAGGAUUUUUAUAUGUUCAUAAAGAGGUGACCCCUUUAUCAUUCAUUGUAUAAUAUUCCUGUUCAUCCUUGAUAACAUUCCCUGUUCUGAUGUCUACUUUGUCUGAUAUUGGUAUAUAGUUUUUCUAGCUCUGUUUUAGCUAAUGUUUUAAGGUAUAUCUUUCUCUAAACUUUUCUUUCAAUCCUUCAUGUCUUUAUGUUUAAAAUGGGCUUCUUGUCCACAGUGUAUGCAUGGGACUUGCUUUUUCACCUACAAUCUCUCUUCUUAAUUCUUUUUUGGCCGCCCCGUGGCAUAUGGAGCCCCUGGAUCAGGAAUCAAAUCCAAGUUGCAGUUGCUACCUAGGCCGCAGCUGCAGCAAUGCUGGAUCCUUAAUCCACUGUGCAGGGCUGGGGAUCGAACCUGCGUCCCAGCACUCCCAAGACACUGCUGAUCCUGUUGCGCCACAGCAGGAACUCUAGCAAUCUCUCUCUUUCAAUUCAUGUGUUAGACCUUUCAUUUCAGUGUUAUUUUUUAAGUAAUUGGAAUAAAGUCUACCACCUUGCUAGUUGUUUUCUAUUUGUUUUAUUUUUUUCCCUUUUUAUGCCUUAGUUGAGCAUUUUUUUAUGAUGCUACUUUUUUCUCCCCUAUUGGCUUGUUGUUUGUGUUUUUAAAGAAAAUUUAGUUGUCUACCUUCAAAGACUGUUGCAUCACUUUGCAUGUCAUAUAAAGACGUCCUAACAAUAUAUUCACACGUCCUCCUUUCCAUCCUGUGUGCUGGUGCUGUUAUACCUUUUACAUUCACAUAUGUUAUAAGCACACAUUGCAUUGUUAUUACUGUAGACAUUAUCUUUUAGAACGAGCAGUUUAAAAAUUUUGUUUUGUUUUUUCAGGUUUUUAUUUUUAAAUUUUUUUUAUUAUUCCCCCAAUAUAAUUGUUUUUCUACUGUACAGCAUGGUGACCCAGUUACACAUACAUGUACACAUUCUUUUUUCUCCCAUUAUCACGCUCCAUCGUUAAGUGACUGGACAUAGUUCCCAGUGCUACACAGCAGGAUCUCAUUGCUAAUCCAUUCCAAAGGCAAUAGUUUUAAUUUUCUUCAUUUAUUCUCUUUCCAUCUCUCUUCACUUGAGAGGAUAAAUACGUGUUCCCAUCAAUAUCAUGUUCUUUCUUCUUAAAGGGCUUCCUUUAACAUUUACCAUCAAGUUGGUCAGCUGGAAGUGGAUCUUCUCAGUUUUUAUUUUCUAAGACAGUUUGUAUUUCUCUUUCAUCACUGAAAAUUAUUUUCAGUGAGCAUAAAAUUCUGGGUUUUUGUUUUUUCUUUAGUUUUCAUCGAUACUGUGCUUUUCAUUGGUAGCAUUUCAUUUCUUUUUUCUUUUUUCAUAGUUUCCCUCUCGCAGCUGAAACUCUCACUUGACAUUGUAUGUUUCCACCUUUCUCAUUAGAGCUGUUAGCAUAUUCAUCAGUUAUUUUAAAUUCUCUCGAAGUUCUAACAUCUAUCAUAUCUGACUGGUUCUGAUGGCUUUUUCUCUCCCAAGUAUUUUUUCUUGCCUUUUGUAGUGUUUUGCAAUUUUCUUUGAAAGCUAGUCAUCUUACAUAGACAGUAGAGACCAAUGUCGAUGGCUUUUGCCUGGCAAGGAGUGUGCUUCUCCUGCGGGCCUUUCCAGGGGGAGGUAGAGCUUUUCUAGUCAGGAGGUGGACUGGGUGGGAGAGGUGUUGUUGUUGAGGCCACCAUCAGAGCCUCCAGAGGCCUCGGGUUCCUGCCAAGACACGUCUUGUUUGGGGUGGAGGAUGGAUCACAGGAGGAAGUCUUGUCCACUCCAGGUUCAGGUCUUUCCUCUGCCCUGUGCCUCAGAGCUGGUUGCCCUGCACGUUCUGCUCUUCUCCUGUUCCUCUCCCAGUGGUGUUUUGCUGUCACCUCCCAUUUGGAGCUCCACAGGUUGGCACUAGGGGGUGAGGAGGCGAUGAGGAAACUCUGUUCUGACCCAGCCUCAGCCUUCUGCCUGCACCCUCCUCUCAGGUUUCUGGGCCGUGGCCCUCGCAGUCUUCCGCGCUCCUCAGCUGUUGUGAUGGACUCAGGGCAGUCUCGUCCCUUCUUAAAGAGUAGAAGUGUGUCUUCCUCUUAUUCAUUCCUUUCCCCACUGCAGUAAGUUUUGACCAACGCACUAGGGCAGCAGUGCUUGCCGCCCUUCUCUGCACAGGAUAAAGCGUUUGUUCCCUGGUAGAGAGAGGGGAGAUGGAUCCAGGUGGAGGUCCUUGGCCCUGCUAAAGGCUGCUCCCCUCCCCUAGAUCUGGACCACAUUGGAUACUUAUCCUCUGAGUGCUUGAGUGGUGUUCAUAGCAUUGCGCCUGCAAGAGAGUGUGGCCCCAGAGGAGUGACACAGCCCUUCCAGCCCACACUUGGCUUUACCCAACCUGUCUGCCGUUCAGCUGAGCUCCUCUGACCAGUGUCCUGUUACAUCUACCCCAGGUGACACAAGCUGUGUCUCCUUUCUUCCUGCAGACACAGUCUCUAGAGUUUGCACUAUUUGAUUUCUGGGAGUUUGGCCUAUGAUGAGUUUGGGAAAAGUCAUAAAUGUAAAGGUAGGCCUAUUU
rnacentral:lncRNA from 1 species